rnacentral:ncRNA from 2 species
GGAACGCGUAUCUGCGGUGGAUCAUGGAGGAAGCCGGUGCGAGUCCGGCGCGGUCCCGCCACUGUCACCGAGGAGCGAACUCCGUCGACGGUCACUGUCCCGUCGGGAUGGGAAGACCGGAGCGAGCGAUGAUCCGGGAGCCAGGAGACUCCGACCACCGCCGCACUCUGGAA